UCCACUCUGAGAAGAAAUUAUGAGGAGAUCUGUUUAUGAGCAGAAGAAUGUCAGGGAGUGAAGAUUCAAAAGAACUUCAGAGAAUCUAGGACAGCUUUUCCUCACACCAAAUUACUGGGUGUGGCAGGGGCAGUACGGGGAGCUGCCUACUGCGCCUCUGUCUAGGGGCAGCCGGGACAGGUCGCCGCUUGCAGGGAGCCGCCUGAGGGAAGCCAUAGCCUUACAGAGUAUGUUGUGUCAAGAACACAGAGCUCAGAAGAGGGAGUUUCACUUCACAGAAAUCGUUCCUGUCCAGCUGAUUAUUUGCCUGUUUAGCUAAUAUGUGAGCAUGCAGGUUGGGCAGGGUUAAGCGUGGAUAAAAUUGUCUUCAGGAACUUGCUUCUGUCCUCUGAUCACAGAGUCAGCUGGAAUGUUACUUUGGGGGCUAAAAAAGGGGACUGUGCUAGAAUGUAGAUAUGAACCAAACCAAUAAGGGUACAUAUAGUAUACAUAUGGGGGGAGGGAAGAGAUAGAGAAUGUGAUGAUGUGGUGGUGUGGUGUGGAAUAAAGGUUCUAUCUGUGUGAACUGGGAUGGCUGCAUUACUCAGGAGUGGCAAAACCACGGGGUUUAUCCCGGACAUUCCAAACUAGUGCCAAUAAACCCAGUACACCAACCCACCCCUUUGUAUACCCUGUAUAGCUAGUUACAUGAAUUCUGAAUGAUAUUUUAGAAAAAGUUGUAGAGAGGAACAGGAUCCUUUGUUGCCUAUGCAGUUGGAUGCAAGGUCUUAGGAGGGAGAGGAAGAAAAUAUCCUUCAAAUUAUGUUACACCCGCUUGUUGUAUCUUGUCUUUGUCUUUAGAUUAUAAAUUCUUUGGAGCAGGAAUCGUUCUAGGAAAUUCUAGACGGCAUUGGUGCAUGUGAACCUGGGACAGUACAUUAAGUGGGUUUUGUGAAGACAGCUUGCUGGAAUGGAAGCAAUAUGUUUACUGAUAUAUUGCUCAAGUCCAUUCCUAAUUUGAUACUGAAUAACUGAAAAGGAAUGCACAUGUAACUGGAUGCGCACUUCAGUCUUAAACUAUAGUCAGUCUGAGUCAUGAAAAUGGUGGUGUA